rnacentral:lncRNA from 1 species
AAAUCUACAUGUUAUAAAGUUUUACAAUAAUUCCUGAAUAAAAAUAUAGCUUUUUUAAAAAAAAUUAGGAAUAUUAUCUUCAUUGUGUAGAAUUGAGCUAAACAAUGGAAAGGAGAAAGUAGUUAGUUAUGUCCUUCUAGUAAUUCUGGAGACUCUCCAUGUAGUGUAGGAAGGCCAACGAGGCUCCCAACUAAUUAGUGAAAGACUAUCCCAUCCCAUUAUUAUGGGCUUCAAAACUUUAAAAGGAGGACCAAUUAGUAAUUAUACCUAUUUACAAGACCAAAUAGAAAUUCGCC